ACUAUCGUUAACUGAAUACAUAGGUUAACGAGGCGAACCGGGGGAACUGAAACAUCUAAGUACCCCGAGGAAAAGAAAUCAACCGAGAUUCCCCCAGUAGCGGCGAGCGAACGGGGAGCAGCCCAGAGUCUGAAUCAGCUUGUGUGUUAGUGGAACGGUCUGGAAAGUCCGACGGUACAGGGUGAUAGUCCCGUACACCAAAAUGCACAGGCUGUGAACUCGAAGAGUAGGGCGGGACACGUGGUAUCCUGUCUGAAUAUGGGGGGACCAUCCUCCAAGGCUAAAUACUCCUGACUGACCGAUAGUGAACCAGUACCGUGAGGGAAAGGCGAAAAGAACCCCGGCGAGGGGAGUGAAAAAGAACCUGAAACCGUGUACGUACAAGCAGUGGGAGCACCUUCGGGUGUGACUGCGUACCUUUUGUAUAAUGGGUCAGCGACUUAUAUUCUGUAGCAAGGUUAACCGUAUAGGGGAGCCGCAGGGAAACCGAGUCUUAACUGGGCGUUAAGUUGCAGGGUAUAGACCCGAAACCCGGUGAUCUAGCCAUGGGCAGGUUGAAGGUUGGGUAACACUAACUGGAGGACCGAACCGACUAAUGUUGAAAAAUUAGCGGAUGACUUGUGGCUGGGGGUGAAAGGCCAAUCAAACCGGGAGAUAGCUGGUUCUCCCCGAAAGCUAUUUAGGUAGCGCCUCGUGAAUUCAUCUUCGGGGGUAGAGCACUGUUUCGGCUAGGGGGUCAUCCCGACUUACCAACCCGAUGCAAACUACGAAUACCGAAGAAUGUUAUCACGGGAGACACACGGCGGGUGCUAACGUCCGUCGUGAAGAGGGAAACAACCCAGACCGCCAGCUAAGGUCCCAAAGUCAUGGUUAAGUGGGAAACGAUGUGGGAAGGCACAGACAGCCAGGAUGUUGGCUUAGAAGCAGCCAUCAUUUAAAGAAAGCGUAAUAGCUCACUGGUCGAGUCGGCCUGCGCGGAAGAUGUAACGGGGCUAAACCAUGCACCGAAGCUGCGGCAGCGACACUAUGUGUUGUUGGGUAGGGGAGCGUUCUGUAAGCCUGCGAAGGUGACCUGUGAGGGUUGCUGGAGGUAUCAGAAGUGCGAAUGCUGACAUAAGUAACGAUAAAGCGGGUGAAAAGCCCGCUCGCCGGAAGACCAAGGGUUCCUGUCCAACGUUAAUCGGGGCAGGGUGAGUCGACCCCUAAGGCGAGGCCGAAAGGCGUAGUCGAUGGGAAACAGGUUAAUAUUCCUGUACUUGGUGUUACUGCGAAGGGGGGACGGAGAAGGCUAUGUUAGCCGGGCGACGGUUGUCCCGGUUUAAGCAUGUAGGCUGGUUGUCCAGGCAAAUCCGGAUAAUCAAGGCUGAGGUGUGAUGACGAGGCACUACGGUGCUGAAGUAACAAAUGCCCUGCUUCCAGGAAAAGCCUCUAAGCAUCAGGUAACAUUAAAUCGUACCCCAAACCGACACAGGUGGUCAGGUAGAGAAUACCAAGGCGCUUGAGAGAACUCGGGUGAAGGAACUAGGCAAAAUGGUGCCGUAACUUCGGGAGAAGGCACGCUGGUGUGUAGGUGAAGUCCCUGCGGAUGGAGCUGAGACCAGUCGAAGAUACCAGCUGGCUGCAACUGUUUAUUAAAAACACAGCACUGUGCAAACACGAAAGUGGACGUAUACGGUGUGACGCCUGCCCGGUGCCGGAAGGUUAAUUGAUGGGGUUAUCCGUAAGGAGAAGCUCUUGAUCGAAGCCCCGGUAAACGGCGGCCGUAACUAUAACGGUCCUAAGGUAGCGAAAUUCCUUGUCGGGUAAGUUCCGACCUGCACGAAUGGCGUAAUGAUGGCCAGGCUGUCUCCACCCGAGACUCAGUGAAAUUGAACUCGCUGUGAAGAUGCAGUGUACCCGCGGCAAGACGGAAAGACCCCGUGAACCUUUACUAUAGCUUGACACUGAACAUUGAGCCUUGAUGUGUAGGAUAGGUGGGAGGCUUUGAAGCGUGGACGCCAGUCUGCGUGGAGCCAACCUUGAAAUACCACCCUUUAAUGUUUGAUGUUCUAACGUUGGCCCCUUACCGGGGUUGCGGACAGUGUCUGGUGGGUAGUUUGACUGGGGCGGUCUCCUCCCAAAGCGUAACGGAGGAGCACGAAGGUUAGCUAAUCCUGGUCGGACAUCAGGAGGUUAGUGCAAUGGCAUAAGCUAGCUUGACUGCGAGCGUGACGGCGCGAGCAGGUGCGAAAGCAGGUCAUAGUGAUCCGGUGGUUCUGAAUGGAAGGGCCAUCGCUCAACGGAUAAAAGGUACUCCGGGGAUAACAGGCUGAUACCGCCCAAGAGUUCAUAUCGACGGCGGUGUUUGGCACCUCGAUGUCGGCUCAUCACAUCCUGGGGCUGAAGUAGGUCCCAAGGGUAUGGCUGUUCGCCAUUUAAAGUGGUACGCGAGCUGGGUUUAGAACGUCGUGAGACAGUUCGGUCCCUAUCUGCCGUGGGCGCUGGAGAAUUGAGGGGGGCUGCUCCUAGUACGAGAGGACCGGAGUGGACGCAUCACUGGUGUUCGGGUUGUCAUGCCAAUGGCACUGCCCGGUAGCUAAAUGCGGAAGAGAUAAGUGCUGAAAGCAUCUAAGCACGAAACUUGCCCCGAGAUGAGUUCUCCCUGAGACUUUAAGUCUCCUGAAGGAACGUUGAAGACGACGACGUUGAUAGGCCGGGUGUGUAAGCGCAGCGAUGCGUUGAGCUAACCGGUACUAAUGAACCGUGAGGCUUAACC
rnacentral:rRNA from 1 species